rnacentral:rRNA from 1 species
AGUGAACGCUGGCGGUAGGCCUAACACAUGCAAGUCGAACGGCCGCACAGUAAGCGCUUGCUCUUACGGGUGGCGAGUGGCGGACGGGUGAGGCAUACAUCGGAAUCUACUUUUUCGUGGGGGAUAACGUGGGGAAACUUACGCUAAUACCGCAUACGACCUACGGGUUAAAUCAGUGGAUCUUCGGACCUUUCGCGAUUCAAUUAGCCGAUGUCGGAUUAGCUAGUUGGCGGGGUAAAGGCCCACCAAGGCGACGAUCCGUAGCUGGUCUGAGAGGAUGAUCAGCCACACUGGAACUGAGACACGGUCCAGACUCCUACGGGAGGCAGCAGUGGGGAAUAUUGGACAAUGGGCGCAAGCCUGAUCCAGCCAUACCGCGUGGGUGAAGAAGGCCUUCGGGUUGUAAAGCCCUUUUGUUGGGAAAGAAAAGCAGCAGGUUAAUACCCCGCUGUUCUGACGGUACCCAAAGAAUAAGCACCGGCUAACUUCGUG